GCCAGCAUGGCAUAGUGGUUUGAGUGUUUGACUGUGACUCUGGAAACCAGGGUUCAAUUCCUCGCCUGGCC